rnacentral:tRNA from 1 species
GAGGGUAUAGCUCAAGUGGUAGAGCACAUGCCUAGCAUGUAUGAGGUCGUGAGUUCAAUCCCCAGUACCUCCU